AUUGAACGCUGGCGGCAUGCCUUACACAUGCAAGUCGAACGGUAACAGGUCUUCGGAUGCUGACGAGUGGCGAACGGGUGCGUAAUACAUCGGAACGUGCCCGAUCGUGGGGGAUAACGGAGCGAAAGCUUUGCUAAUACCGCAUACGAUCUACGGAUGAAAGCAGGGGACCGCAAGGCCUUGCGCGGACGGAGCGGCCGAUGGCAGAUUAGGUAGUUGGUGGGAUAAAAGCUUACCAAGCCGACGAUCUGUAGCUGGUCUGAGAGGACGACCAGCCACACUGGGACUGAGACACGGCCCAGACUCCUACGGGAGGCAGCAGUGGGGAAUUUUGGACAAUGGGCGAAAGCCUGAUCCAGCCAUGCCGCGUGCAGGAUGAAGGCCUUCGGGUUGUAAACUGCUUUUGUACGGAACGAAAAGACUCUUUCUAAUAAAGAGGGUCCAUGACGGUACCGGAAGAAUAAGCACCGGCUAACUACGUG
rnacentral:rRNA from 1 species